rnacentral:lncRNA from 1 species
AGAGAAAUAGAGUAUGUAGGUGUUGACAUGCAUUCCAUAACCCAAUCAAUGAAUUUAGUAGGAAAUUUCAAUCCCUCAAGCACAUUUUUAAGAAAAUCUCAACAAACCAAGUCAUAUGCAUUCUUAAAAUCAAUUUUGAGGAGACAUCUUGAUGCAACUUUCUUGCAAUUGUAUUGCCUCAAAAGCUCUUGAGCAAGGUGAAUGUUUCCACCAUACUUUUCCCUUUGACAAAACCAGC